UACGAGAGGCCCAAACGUUAUCCGGAUUUACUGGGCUUAAAGAGUUCGUAGGCGGCGCGGAAAGUAGGGUGUGAAAGCCCUCGGCUCAACCGAGGAAUUGCGCUCUAAACUGUCGCGCUCGAGGAACCUAGAGGUGAGCAGAACUGAUGGUGGAGCGGUGAAAUGCGUUGAUAUCAUCAGGAAUACCGGAGGCGAAGGCGGCUCACUGGGGGUUAUCUGACGCUGAGGAACGUAAGCCAGGGGAGCAAACGGG
rnacentral:rRNA from 1 species